rnacentral:rRNA from 1 species
GACGAACGCUGGCGGCGUGCCUAACACAUGCAAGUCAAGGGGCCUUCGGGUCACUGGCGCACGGGUGAGUAACGCGUAGGUAAUCUGCCCAUAUCCGGGACAUAACAUCGAGAAAUCGUUGCUAAUAUCCCAUGAGGCCGCAAGGUCAAAGCUUCGGCGGGUAUGGAUGAGCCUGCGUCUGAUUAGCUAGUUGGUGGGGUAAUGGCCUACCAAGGCGACGAUCAGUAGCUGGUCUGAGAGGACGAUCAGCCACACUGGAACUGAGACACGGUCCAGACUCCUACGGGAGGCAGCAGUGAGGAAUUUUGGUCAAUGGGGGAAACCCUGAACCAGCGACGCCGCGUGCGGGAUGAAGGAGCUUUGCUCUGUAAACCGCUGUCGGGAGGGAAGAAAAGCCGGGUCGCCCGGCUGGGACAGUACCUCCAAAGGAAGGAUCGGCUAACUACGUGCCAGCAGCCGCGGUAAUACGUAGGAUCCAAGCGUUGUCCGGAUUUACUGGGUGUAAAGGGUGCGCAGGCGGAUUUGUGCGUCAGAGGUUAAAGACUUCGGCUUAACCGAAGAAAUGCCUUUGAUACGGCAAGUCUUGAGUACGAGAGAGGAUGAUAGAAUUCUUGGUGUAGCGGUGAAAUGCGUAGAUA